rnacentral:rRNA from 1 species
UACGUAGGGUGCAAGCGUUAAUCGGAAUCACUGGGCUUAAAGCGUGUGUAGGCGGAUCGUUAAGUGCCUUGUGAAAUCCCACGGCUCAACCGUGGAACUGCUUGGCAUACUGGCGGUCUUGAGCAACCUAGGGGCGAGCGGAACAAAUGGUGGAGCGGUGAAAUGCGUAGAUAUCAUUUGGAACGCCAAUGGUGAAAACAGCUCGCUGGGGGUUUGCUGACGCUGAGACACGAAAGCCAGGGGAGCAAACGGG